rnacentral:rRNA from 1 species
AGUGGCGGACGGGUGAGUAACGCGUGGGUAACCUGCCCUGUACAGGGGGAUAACAGUCAGAAAUGACUGCUAAUACCGCAUAAGACCACAGCACCGCAUGGUGCAGGGGUAAAAACUCCGGUGGUACAGGAUGGACCCGCGUCUGAUUAGCUGGUUGGUGAGGUAACGGCUCACCAAGGCGACGAUCAGUAGCCGGCUUGAGAGAGUGAACAGCCACAUUGGGACUGAGACACGGCCCAAACUCCUACGGGAGGCAGCAGUGGGGAAUAUUGCACAAUGGGGGAAACCCUGAUGCAGCGACGCCGCGUGAGUGAAGAAGUAUCUCGGUAUGUAAAGCUCUAUCAGCAGGGAAGAAAAUGACGGUACCCGACUAAGAAGCCCCGGCUAACUACGUGCCAGCAGCCGCGGUAAUACGUAGGGGGCAAGCGUUAUCCGGAAUUACUGGGUGUAAAGGGUGCGUAGGUGGUAUGGCAAGUCAGAAGUGAAAACCCAGGGCUUAACUCUGGGACUGCUUUUGAAACUGUCAGACUGGAGUGCAGGAGAGGUAAGCGGAAUUCCUAGUGUAGCGGUGAAAUGCGUAGAUAUUAGGAGGAACAUCAGUGGCGAAG